UGUUCAUUAAGAAUGUUUGUCUCGUGCAAACAAAAUUUUGGUUACCAAAGGACCCAUUAUUAGCAUUGUAUUGCAACAAAGAAAUUUUUGUUAUUCAGGAUAUCGCUUUCCUCUUAAUUUUCAUUUUUCGAGUUUCUAUGACGCGAUCGUUAUCGAUAUCCCACGAUAUUCCAGAAAGAGUCGUAAAAGCGUGGAAUGUUGAAGUGCUCACUUCACGCUUUAAGGACAACUUCGACGAAAAUCCGUUCAAGAUAGUUUUGUUCCGGACGGUAAGGUGAUCCGUAGGUAUCGAUGAUCCAGAAGAAAAGAAUCCUUUGAAGUACAUAUUUAGCUGUGGAUUCAUUUUUUGUUAGCUAUGUUAUGUUUUUAACCUCUUCGACCUUCGUUGUUUCCAAACUGCAACUGCACCUACGUUCUUAUCAGCAAAAACAGAUGCCAUCGUAAAUGCCCGUCGCAAAGAACAUUUGUUUCGGCUUAGACGGAGGUCCACACCCUUGUAGGUGGUUGCGACGAGAGAACCUCAACCCUGACCAUCUGGAACGACUUAAAACACCGAGAACGAGAAAGAGAGAGAGACAAGGAUGAACCCUUCGAAGUCCUUUUCUUUGGCCUCGUGCCCCUUUUCGUGUCCACCUUGAGAUAUACGUGCACGAAAAGGGACGAGUCGGAUCUGAAAGAACGGUCAAGACAAGCCCUGUCCCCAUUCACAGAGUGUGGCUAGAUUAACUCGUAAAUGGGUCUAGAUUAACCUGUGGAUUAUGAAUUCUGUGUCAAACAUCGCCACCAGUCACUCAGCGGGAAAAAAUCCGUAGAUUAGGCGAUUUAACACUGAAUAACGCCACCAGUUAUCCUAAUAUGGAUAAUCAUAUUCUUUGAGAAAUCCCAGUUCGAUUUGGAAAGUCCAAAUCUUGACUUGAAUGGAACUGUUGCACAAAGAAAAAAAGAGGAAGGAACAGAGGAAGUGGAAGAGAUCCGCGGAGGAAGACGGAAGGAGAGAGAUGGAAGGCGGGAAUAGCGUAAAGAAGGAAGAGGGUUCGAUGGCGAACGACAUCAAAGAGAAGCGACAACGGAUACGCGUAAACCUCGAAGCUGCAAAUGCCGAAAAACCGACAGAAGUUCGAGGUAACCGAGGCUUUCUCAGGAAAACUCAUCAAAGAGCCGUGGAUGGAUAAAUAUUUCCUGUUCUCAAGCUUUCAGCGCAUACGAGUGGAGGAGAGAGUUGUUCGUAACGCGAGGGAAAAAUGAUGGACGCCGUGAAGACAAACGGAUACGGAUCACCGUGAUUUGUCGGCAGUGCAGAGCGAUCAUUUGUCACGACCUUUAAUUGCAGAUGACACGAGGUGUCAAGAAUUAAAGGACAGUAAAGAGUUACUGCGAUAGAGCGAUGAAGAAAGCAAAGGACGAAUUCGUGUCACACCUUGACGCACAAAGAUCAGUCCCGUGGAUCGAUAUUCCAGUUCCACCUCCUUCCUCGUUCAGAUCGCAACCUCGUGAAGGAAGGACCAUCGUUCCAGAAUAAUCGUACGGGCAUGGAUCUAGAAACGAACGAUUCUAUAAAACGAAUUCCGUGUCGUUGGAUGGCAAAGGAUCGACGAAAACGUAUAUAGGAAUAAUCGUUGGACGAAUUCAUGCAGAGCCGCCGCAACCCGACAGAGAUAAUGGCGUCGAGCUGAAAAUGCGACGCAUGGAAACGAUGUCUGUUGUUAUUUUACGGGGGUGGAAUACCGGGCCGACGGUUAAACCGAUUUGCACAUCGGAUGCACUCUCGAUUCCUCGAACAGCGGACAAUUUCACAGGGUUCUCUAUUUACGCUGCUACCUCCAUCAUCCUCUACCCUGCUCGUUUACGUAUUUUGCUCUUUCCGGUAAAUGCAUUACGUUUAUCUAUUUUCCAUUCUUUUCUUCGAACUUGUAUCAUUCGAGGACCAAGAAAAUUAUCUCUCUUCUUUUUUAUUUGGAUUCAAUGAAACUUGAGAAAUUAAUUUUCAUGAAUAAUCGAACGCUCGCGUGAUCGAUCACGAUUCAUCAGUAAGAUAUUUCAUUCACAGAACGUCGAAAUUCACGCGACCCGUGUGCGUUAUAUCGUGGACAACAAGAAGAGCAGUUCAUUCGCUCGUCUAGUUGAGUGCUCGAGGCUUCCCUUUCGCACUGACAAGAUGCAGCUUGCAUUCGGACGUCACGUCAACGUCCGAACACCAGUCGUCGUCGACCAUUAAAUCGUUUUCUUCGUUGCUCGACAAUCCUGGCCUCGCAUAGUUACCUCGAAAACCUCCAACAUGUUGCCAUGUCGCUUUCGUACCACCGCAAAAGAAACUAGUCCACCGAAUGAAAUUGUUCAACAAUUUUAAUUCCAAGCUGAUUAAUUACCGUUCUAUAAAAUGCUUAAUUUAGGCGAAAUAUUUUUUUUUCUAUCUUAGAUCGAAAGACUUAAAUAGAAAAUUCGAGGUAUUCGAAGGCGAAAGGAGGGAAGACAAGAGGGGGGUGGUAUUCGUGGGCAUCGCGGUAUCGGCGACGUAAUAAUAACGCGGCAUCUCCUUCGUUUCUCGUCGACGAAGGGAGACGUUCUAACGAUUUUAAUAAAUUUGGCGCUGGCUAAGCUGCAACAACAGCUCGGGUAUGAAUUAAGAGGGCCGAAACACCGCUUGGAUAAACAUCUCGAAUUAGGCACCGGGAUUCUUUUCCGUCCAUCCGCGUGCACCGGGAGCUUUACGACUUCGGUAUGUUUCGGCUGACGUGGCUUGAUAUGUAUAUGAGCGGUUAGCAGGCCGCAAAGUUGCGGUAAUGGACGAGAUAUUUUACAACUGAGGGAUGUUUCAAAGAUUAGCUUCAUCCUUUGCCGCGAUCUUUUCUAAUCCCUGAUAAGACUGUCCUCUAAUUAAUCGUGUCGAAAUUGAUUAUUAUUUCUCGCCCCGUAGGUUGGUCGUAGGAAUUUAUUUCUAGUUGGUUGCAUCGAAGUCUUCGGGUAAUGAAAGAAAAAAAAAUUCGCGAAAUUAGACCACCAUGGGUGGAGUAUCCCUUCGGAGACGCGACAACAAAAUCCUACAAAAUGGUCUCGAAUUAUCGACUAUUCCGGUGGUCUGAAAUCUUCGCGUAGAAUCUUAUUGAAAGAGAUCGAAAUCCCUACCAUUAUGUUCGAAGCUCGUGGUCGUAUCCAGAGUGAUUCGCUGCCGUUUUGAAUCCAUCGUUAGAAAAUCACGUAGAAAAGAUUUUCCAUGGGCAUCGACAUAGGCCUGCUGGCACUUGUCGAAGAGGAAGAAAUUCCUCGGGCGGAUUAGCUCGAUUCGACACGAAUUCGAUUCCCUUUUGUGAUUCGACCCAGACACGGCGAUGUUGGGCAAACAGGUCAUCGGGUUUCGAUGAUGUUGAAUCAGCUAGGAUAAUUCAGUUGAAUGGAUCCUGUGAACCGAAUCGCGACACCUUCCUUACGAUUAUCCUUCGUCAAAGGAUCACUGACAAUCUUAUUACAGAUUAUCCAAAUUCUCUUUUAAUUUCUCUUUUUUCCAAUUUCAUCGGUGUUCGAUGUUCAACUACGAGUUUCAUCGAUUCGGACUAAGAAAUUCUUUUUUUUUCUACUCGGACCGACAGGUGCAGUAGCCUUCACCCGCGGAUAUUAUUUCUGUCAACCUUGGCCGUGUUUAUCUGCAUACAUAUUUGACCAACUCCUGCCGUGCAGGUCCAUCGCCUAGGUCGGUAGAGGGAGCGUAUUACCUGAAGAAGUAAUCUCUGUCGCAUGAAAUAACAUUUAGGCUGGACUGGCUGCUCUACCACCUCCCUGUUUGUUUUCACCUAUACCUGGACACUGUGUUACGUGCUUUCCGUGUGUAUAAAAGUAUCCUGACUCGAGGAUGAUCCUCCAUGUUUAGCAUCAUCACUUGUUCUGUUGCAUGUCUUCUAAUUUGUAUGUGCGUUUAAUUGCAGUGGAAGUUUCUUCAGGUAUGUGGAAAUAAGUAGAAGAAUUUAAUUAUCAUUUCGAGUCAAAGGGUUAACCAAGGUUCUUUGUGUGUCUACCAGUAGUAUUCAGCAUGGUUGACAACCUAAAGAUCACACAGUUAGCCAUUACUGAACUAUUAGAGGUUUGUCAACGUAGAUCCUUUUGGAUGACACUUUGAAGGGUACCAGGUACCUGGACUCUGUUGGUUCUGGUAACGUUUGCAGAGCGUUUCUACCUACGCAAAGCACAUAAAAUAUUAGAACUUACGUAUAUUGGUAUCCAGAAGAUUUCGUAUUUCAAGUUUAUCCAAAAUCAAAGCUCCAGUUGCUUUUCAGGCAUUUGAAUAUUUCUUGAUAUCCGCAUUGAUAACUUAAUAUCUGUUGUUUAAUUCAAUAUAUGAAGCAUAACAACGAACGAUUUGAUGAAUCCCCCUUCGGAUGUGGCGGCGAACGAGGUUUCCUCCGUUCCCUUCGGGGAUCUCGGGGGAAGAGUAGAAGCAAAGGAUACGAGAGUGUGAAAAAUAAUUUCCUGCCGCUGAUAUGUGGCAGAUCGGACGAAGGAGAAAAGUCCUAGAGGCGGGAGUAUCAAAAUAUUAUUCGAGGGUAUGCCUAGGGUAGCUGCGCAUUCUCGUGCCAUAUAGAAGCCAUGCUGAAGCUAAAGUGGAUGGUUAUUGCUCUCAACCUGACCGCUCAGGCUGCCACUAUCUCAUGGCUAUACACGAAUUUCAUAUUUACUCUCAUUUAAUGCACCAUCCGAAUCAUCGUUUUUGUAUAAAACUAAUUCGAAAUUAAUUAGUACGAGUGAAUUUUCGAAAUUUUCAAAUUAUAAAUUUACCACCUUUUUAUCGAGAAAUCGUCUCGCACGUGGCUGAAUUCUGUGGGAACGAAUAGUCUUCGCACACAUGCGCGUACAAGUACAGCUAGUACUUACAAUUAGUAGCAGGGAACUGGUGGCAGCCGCAAGCAGUGAGAGAGAGAGAGAGACUCGGUCGAUAUAUGGUCACAAUGAAGGGUGUGGCGUUCGAGGACCAAAAGCUCUCUCCUGUCUGCUUUAUCCUACCAUUGGCUGUUGCCAGGUGUCGAGAAUGGCGGACCUUUCUCCCGUCGACCCUCCUGACUGCUCUUUUAACACCACUUCAACCUCCUUUGCGACCAACGCGAAAGAUUUCUUGUUAAUUGUGACACUGGGAGGAGCGAGUGGUCGUUCUUUGAUUUUGCGAACGACACGUGAGAACAGCAAAAGAACAGACCUGAACAUUCCAAUUAUCAUCAUCAUCGAUCAUUGAUACAUAGGUAUUUGGUGUUUCGGUUGCAUUUUUCUGGCAUACCAUUACCAUUCAGGUACUAAAUAAAUUUUCAUAAUUCUACGAACUUGCAAAUAGCGAACCCGGAAAUGUUAUAUAUGUUAGAAGACGUGGAAUAAAUUCAGAGCAAAAAGUUAUUCACGUUUCUCGGUAGAGCAGUGAUUUAGAAAGAAAAUGACGUAUGCCGAGGUUCUUAGCAAGCGCCACUUUAAUGGAGACACGUGUCGCGGGUAUUUUAGAUCGGACCGCGGCCCGAUGAUGAAGAGAACGACGACGUUCGAGGAAGAUUGAUGAGGUGUGUUUACCACUAACUAAUUCCCGUCUGCUGCCGCUUCGCGUCUAGCUAACUAACUUUUGCUCGGGGCGGAACGUGGCCCUCCAGAAGCGGCCUCAAACUUGCGCCGACAAAUUGUUUGAAUUCCAGUACGGUGAAGCAGACAAUUAGAGAUGGGAACAAGAAUAGGUCUAAGAACAGUAAUCGAUGGAUGUUCUAUAAUUUGUAGAAAAGUCAAUCAGAAAAAUGAAUAAUUGGUGGAUGAAAGCGUCGGGUUAGCCGGAGGUGGUUAACGAAGCAUCAGCCUGGAUUAGGCUUGCGUCAAGCCACAAAACCAGCCUCUUCUCGGGGUUCGGCGUACGAUGAAGAAACGGAGGUUAUUCCUGGUUGAACAAACACUGGAAUGGGUCGCGUGCGCCUCCCACAUAUUUAUAGAUUUUAUCUCUCUUUGACUUCGCCGAGGCGAGUAGGCGUUCGUGUACCCGUGUGCAGUGCGAUGGGAUGCCGAGGAAAAGAAUCCAGGAGGACAGGGACGAGCAGGAGGCCGCGAAAACCGGGAGGAAAUCUGAGGAAUGCCCGACGGAACGAGGGAAAAUAUCGGACGCGAACGAAGAAAGAAGAGGAAUCGCGACAGAUCGAAGAAAUCUUUCUUUGUUUAUUCAGUGAUACUCUUUCUUGCCAUUUUCGCUGUUUCGUGAACAAUAUAAAGGUAAACAGCGACGAAGGGAGAGGUGACGAACAGUUGUCGCGAGGGAUGAAUAGAGGGAUUUUUCAUGAAGCCGUGAAACGUGGACGACUAUCGAAUCAGCCAAUUGUUCGAUCGUUUCGCAUUGUUAUUUUUAUAAUUCACCGUAUCCUCGAUCUUGCUGGCGUGGCGACGGCACCGUGUUGUUUUUAUUGGCCGCAUUUAGGGAACGCGAAAGGGACCGAGCGGGGAAAAAGGUGGUCGGUAGCAAUGGACGAAUAUACCAGAGCAAGAGGGGUGAACCGAUGGGAACGGGGUGUUGUUUCAUCCCUCGUGGCAGCUUCGUCUAUUCUAGCCGGGAGCAGCUACAUUCUAGUGCCUAAAGCGGAGCCAUAGCUAGGAUAGGAUAGGAUAGGACAGGAAGAAAGACUCGGUCCUGAAGGUGCGAAGUUUCACAAUACUAGGAUGGAUCAGUUGACGCGCGUUUUCAAGGCCUAAAUUCAAGACUCCUUGAAAACAAAGGCAUGUCCAGUCACCUUGUCACAUUUAUCAGAAAACCACGUACGCGUAAUCCCGAAAAUUAGACGUUCACUCUUCCGGAUUGGAAGGAGGCUUCUUUGUGCUUGAAAUAUACCCCAGGAUCCUGAACGAGUGGCAUCUGUAAUAACAACGUUCGCUCUUGCGGCUCUCCCUCUACGUGACUGCUACGGGAAUGCUACGUAGGAUAGAUUUCCAAAAUUCCGAUCAACUGUGAUUAAUCGUAUAUAUACAGUCACGCUUAUCAUUAGAUACAAUAAUCUUAAAUAACUCUGUCGUUUGUAUAAUUUUUAUUAUAAUAAAGUUCUACGUUCAAUGACAAA